UAAUCUGUUUAGGGCAGAUCCUUAUUUAGUUAUGACAGACCCACACUUUACUAUUCAGAAUCACUCAUUAUUGUGUGAACAAUAACUUUUUAAGAUUUUAAUUGAAAU
rfam:Populus trichocarpa isolate Nisqually-1 chromosome 19, whole genome shotgun sequence.